AGUGGAUUAUUUGGAGUCGGCUUUCUGCUGCAGAAAACCACCGGUUUGUGAAUUUUCAUACAUGUUUUUAUAGCAGAGUUUUUGCAAAUAUAACAGAGACUACCUUACAUACAAUACAUAAACUACAGUUAGACUUCACAGACGAGCAAUUGCUGCGGAAGGUGUGUGUUGAAGAGCUAGGUGGCACAACUAUUGUGGUUUUGUAUUUUUUGUUGUGUAUGAUGUGGCAAAUACCUGUUUAACAUGUGACGGUCAUUAUGUGCCUAGUACUGCUACCUCUGAAAUCAAUUUGACUUCCGAACUGGCUGUCCACGUCGAUACCUUACCCCGUCUAGAACAAUAUGCUGUACGUAGAUGUAUGCGAAACACCUACACGAGCAUGUCCUCGCGCUUUA